rnacentral:tRNA from 1 species
GGCUUCGUAACUCAACUGGUAGAGGGCUUACCGCGUUUGAGCAUGGUGUUUCUGUCGCUGGUUCGAAUCCAGCCGAAGUUC